GAUCUAAAAUGAAAACAUCAUAUCAUUGACACCACAAAUCAAUAUUUUUAUUAAACUAUUUAGAUA
rnacentral:tRNA from 1 species